GGUUCCGGAUCGAGUCUAGCUUUGGGUGCGCCGGCCUGGCGAGUUUAGCAUUUUUGGCCUUCUGUGGGCGUCUUCUUGGGGGCUACAUGAGCCACUGUCAUCAUGCUCACAGACGCUGGAGCCAGAGUUGGGUCUACUCUGGUCAUUCCUCCGCCAAGAAGAAAGGUGGAAACCACAUCCCGGAAAGCAUGUGGAAGUUCCCCAGCCAGGGAUCGAACCUGCACUACAGCAGCAACCCACAGUGGUGAAAAUGCAGUGGUGAAAAUGCAGGAGCCUUAACCCGCUGAGCUACCAGAGGACUCACAUAAGGUGGAAAGACUAUCUCCCAGUUGGACAGCGGAUGCCUGGGACACGUUUCAUUGCUUUCAAAGUUCCUUUGAAAAAGAGUUUUGAAAAGAAACUUACUCCAGAAGAACGUUUUUCCCCCUUGGAUCUUUUUAACAAAAUCCAGGAACAGAAUGAAAAACUUGGACUGAUUAUUGAUUUAACAUAUACUCGCCGCUAUUAUAAACCAGAGGACUUACCAGAAACUAUUCGUUACUUAAAAAUUUAUACGGUUGGGCAUCAUGUACCUGAUGACAAGACUAUUUUUAAAUUCAAAUGUGCUGUUGAUGGGUUUUUGAAAGAAAAUAAAGAUAAUGGUGAGUUGCUUUUUUCCCCUUUACCUGAACUUUGGUAUGCAUUUUGAGUGGGGUUGGGGAUUUUUAAUAUUUUUAAUAAUUCUGACAUUAGUCCUGCUGUGUUUGAUAAUGUUAAGGUGGAAAUGUCAGAUGGGGCUAAUAGAGUAAGAUAUGUUUUUCCUUUUUAUGGUCACAGACAAUUUAGUUUGGAAAACGAUUUUUGUGAGAACUAAGAACUGAAUUAGCUUACUUGUCCUUUUUUUUAAGUUGAGUGGGGAAUAUAUAAUUAAAUAAAAUAUUCUUUUAUCCUAUUUAUUGGUUAACAGUUGAGAAGUAAAGAGUGAGACUCUUAGGUUCUUAGCGAAUAUAAAUGAGAAAACAAAAGGCAGAGGUUUGUAGUGAGACAGAUUCCUGGAAGCAGAGCAAGCAGAGUGGACCAGAGGAGUGGCAUCCUUGUCAUACCAGUUUAAAAUAUUUCUGCUGCUUUUUCCCUUUGAGGGCAAAUGAGGAAGGACACGACCACCUCUUAGUCUCGUCUUCAGACAGGAAGAACUUAAAAAGGUUGACAUUUUCUGUCCUCACUUUAAGAUUAAUAACCUUCCUUUAUUGAAAGUCUUAGUAGCUUCUGAGUUUGAAGGAUCGAUUUGCCAUUUUCCAGCAUCUAACUCUCAGAAGGAACAUGUAUUUAUUAUUUACUUUUGUCUUUUUAGGGCCACACCCAUGGCAUAUGGAAGUUCCCAGGCUAGGGGUCAGUCGGAGUUGUAGCUGCCGGCCUACACCGCUGGAUCCAAGCCUCAUCUGAAACCUGCACUACACUCACAGCAAUACUGGAUCCUUAACCCACUGAACAAGGCCAGGGAUCAAACCUGUGUCCUCAUCCUCAUGGAUGCUAGUCAGGUUUGUUAUCGCUGAGCCAUGAUGGGAAGUCCAGAAGGAACAUGGAUUUGGACUAAGGGAUCUUUUGUCUUUGGAACAGAAAUGAAUUAUAAAUUCAGAAAGAAGGCAAGUAUUCAUUUUGCCUUCCUUCUGAAUUUAGCCUGUGGAGUGUACCCUUUAUUAAAUAAAUCUGAAAGAUUGUAAUUAUUCCAUGUGUAUACAAAGCGAUAUCAUGUAUUCAUAGAAUAUAAGGAGUAGGGGAGAUGGCAUAGAGAUGGAGGUGGGAGGAUGGGGGUAGGAGGUGAGAGAGGGAGAGACUGCAAUUUUAAAAUAAAUUUUCUAUUUUUUUUUGUUUGGCUGCACCCACAGCAUGCCGGAGUUCCCGGGCCAGGGAUCUAACCUGAGCCAUAGCAGGGACAACACCGGAUCCUUAACCACUGGGCCACCAGGGAACUCUCAAGAUAAUUUUUCAAACUAUAACCUGAUUGCUUAAUGCAGGUACUAACUUAAAUAUCUUAAGCCCUACUCAAAGAUCUCCUCUGUACUUUAAAACUUAAGAGGCUUGGCCUUGCCCAUGAUAACCAGGGUGUCUACAAAAGAGGUAUAUUAUCUGAUUUAUAUAAACCAGUCACAGAAAUGUUACCUCUUUAAGAUGUUAGAGUACGGAUCCUCAUAUGUGCAUGAGAACAUGUUUGUGAGUCCUCAUGAGUGCGUGAGAUCCUCAUCAGUGUGUGAGAACACGUUUGUGGAUCUUGAUGGUUCACAUGUUACACCGUGUAGUCCACUGCAUAAGCUGAGCCCUCUGUUGGUCUUCUGCCUGCGUCGGGCUAACUUCACUGUGCUCUCCACCUUGGCAAUCUUGGGACCCUCCCUGUGAUCCAUUUUUGGCUUCCUCUGCUGUAAGCCCCUCCCACCAAUGCCAGGCUGACUGAUGAAGAGGAGGAGACUACACUAUCCACUCCCUAGGACUGGUAGCGACUCAAAAGAUAAACUGGUUGAUAAACAUUGAAAGCCUUUUAGGUCUGUGGUUGGGGCACAGGGAUAUAGAGGUGACCAAUAGGUUUUGUUACCUAGGAAGAUAAACAAGUAGUAACUGUGAGACAGUGGGUUAAUUAUAAUGAAAGAAUCAAGUGCAUCAGGAAAACGGGAAAGAUUGAGGAAAGGCCUGAGUGAGGACAGCAUUUGAGCUGGGCUUGGGAGGAAGAAUAUUUUGCCAGAAUGAGGAAAGGUAUUGGGAACAGGUGAUAGAAGGCAUGGGGCUUGAACUUGUAUGACCAGAGGGUAGUGGGAAAGGGCAGAGAAUUCACAUGUUCAUUUUCAGCAAAUAUUUAUAUACCACCUUCCAAGUUGAAGGCACUAUUCUAGGAAGUAGGAGCAAAAUAAAAUUCUUGCCCUUAUGUACUUUACAUUCUAGUCGGAGAGAGUAAAUAUAUGGAGUGUCAGGUGGUGGUAGGUGCUUUGGAGAAUAACAAAACAAGAUAAAGAGAUGGGGGAAUGUGGUAGGGGAUCAGGGAAGGCCUCUCUGUUAAGAUGUCAUUUGAGCAGAUCCUUAAAGGAAAUGAGGAACCAAGCCAUUGGUUACCUGAGAGAGUGUUCUUUUGAGAGGGGGAUGUGUAUUUUUAAUUUUUUCCAGUGUUACUGGGGUAUACUUGGCAAGUGAAAAUUGUAUAGAUUUAAGGUAUAUGACAUGAUAUUUGAAAUAUUGUUUUUAGUUUUAUCGAAGUAGAUUUUCAGGGUUGUGAUAGUUACUGCUGUACAACAAAGCGACUCAGUCAUAUGUAUACAUCUAUCCUUUUUUUUUUUUUUUUUGCUUUUUUUCAGGGCCCCAUGCAUGGCAUAUGGAAGUUCCCUGGCUAGGGGUCGAAAUGGAGUUAUAACUAUGGCGUACACCACAGCUCAUUGCAAUGCUGGAUCCUUAGCCCACUGAGCAAGGCUAGGAAUCAAAUCCGCAUCCUCAUGGAUAUUAGUUGGAUAUGUUUCCACUGCACCACAACGGGAACUCCCACAUGUCCAUUCUCUUUCAGAUUCUUUUCCCACAUAGAUUAUUCCAGACUUUUUUUUUUCCUUUUUAGGGCCACACUGGUAGCAUAUGGAAGUUCCUGGGUUAGGGAUCGAAUCGGAGCCGAAUCUGUGACCUGUGCUGCAGCUUGUGGCAAUUCUGAAUCCUUAUCCCACUGAGUGAGGCCAGAGAACGAACCCACAUCCUCACGGAGACAGAGUCUGGUCCUUAACCUGCUGAGCCACAACAAGAACUCCCUAAAGGAGUGUUCUAAAGCAGAGGAAAUAGUAGGUGCAAAGUCCCUGAGGCACAAUUAUGCUUGACAUGAUUGAGGAAUAGUAAGAAGGCCUGUGUGGGAGAGUGAGGGGAGGGUGAGCGAUUUCGGAGCGGUAGAAAAUGGGGUCACAGAGGCUGGCAGGGGAGAGAAGGGAGGUGGGUCACUUGGCUCCUUGUAAGUUGUAGUUUGAACUUGCAAUUCAGUUGGAGAGACAGAGUUCUAAAUGCUGUGCUAAAAAUUCAGGCUUUAUUCUGUGCUAAAUGAGGUUUAUUUUUGUUUUUUUGGGGGGCCACUCCGGCUGCAUGCAGAAGUUCUGGGACCAGGGAUCGAACCCGCGCCACAGCAGUGACAACGCCAGAUCCCUAACCCACUGUGCCACCAGGGAAUUCCUAAACGAGGAUUUUUAAGCAACGGAGCACCUCGGCCAAGUUUGUAUUCUAGAAAGAUAAUAUCUUCCCUGUGGAGGAUCAGUUGAAGUAGAGAUUAGAAGUAGGGCGGCAGAGGUCCUGGCAGGAGAUGCAGAGUGCCUUCCUGCCAGACACCCCCUCGUCACAGACAUGCUUUUUGCAGAGAUUGGCUACUUGUUGUUGGGAUUUUUUUAGCUGCGCCUGCCACUUACAGAAGUUCCUGGGCUAGGGAUUGAACCCGCACCUCAGCAGCAACCCAGGCUGCUUCAGGGAGUACUCCAGAUCCUUAACCCAGUGCACCACAAGGGAACUCUACAUGCUGUUUUUUGUUUACUUUCUCAUGUAAUUUUUGUAGAUGAUGGACUAAGAAAUACUGUGGCAUAGUUGGAAAAUCUGAGACUCGAUUCUAGUCUUUGUUGUUUUUUUUGCUUUUUAGGGCCGAACUUGUGGCAUAUGAAGUUCCCAGGCUUAGGGCUACAGCUAACACCACAGUCACAGCAACGUAGGAUCCCUGACCCACUCAACGAGGCCAGGGAUUGAACCCGCAUCCUCAUGGAUACCAGUCAGAUUUGUUUCUGAUGCGCCAUGGCGGGAACUCCCUAGUCUUUGGUCUGUUUGCCUGCUAUGCAGCUUGGCUUGACAUCGCCACGCCUUAAUUUUUUCAUCAUGAGACAGGAGCAGUGCUGUUUACCUCGAGAGCCCCUCAGGCACAUUAGACCCAUGGCGUUUGAGGAGCAGCAAUGAGGGAAGAUUCAGAAAUGCCCUGGCAACCCAAGAGCCCUUCAGAAACCAUUUGUCUUUUUUAACAUUAAUCGUUUAAAGUGAAGGCAUUCCAUUUUUUUUUUUUUCCCACUCCCUUUUUCUGUAGUCAGAUCAGUUCCCGAUGGGCAUUCUGUAUUAAGACAGGUGUUUGUCUCAGUGCAGUUUUAACUGUUAGUGCCAGACCAGGCCUGCUCCAGUCCACACCAUUGUGUCUGGUUGGAGGCUGUGCAAAACUUCCCAAAGACAAUGAAUUUUGACUUUAUAUUAGUUAAUUCUUUAGGAUAUGUUCCCACAAAAACACACUCUUCAGUUUUUCCUUUUUAGGAUAGUGGUAGUGUUUUAGUAACUAGUAAGUGCUGCUCUUCAAAAAAUUGUGUAACUUGUUUUUAGCGUAUCUACUUCACCUAUUUAAUUCUCUGUUCUGUUUUAUAGACAGACUGAUUGGUGUCCACUGUACCCAUGGCUUAAACAGGACUGGCUACCUCAUUUGCAGAGCUGUACCCAAGGCAUAGGGAGAUUUCCAGGCUAGGGGACGAAUUGGAGUUGCAGCUGCCGGCCUACACCACAGCAACAACAAUGCAGGAUCCAAGCCAUAUCUGCACCGUACACCACAGCUCACGGAAAUGCUGGAUCCCCGACCCACUGAGCAAGGCCAGGGAUCGAACCCCCAUCCUCAUGGAUACUAGUCGGAUUCAUUUCCACGGUGCCACAAUUCAAACUCCAGUAUUUGAUUGAUGUAGAAGGCAUGAAGCCAGAUGAUGCAAUUGAAUUAUUCAAUAGGAGCCGUGGACAUUGCAUAGAAAGACAAAACUACAUUGAAGACCUUCAGAGUGGUCCCAUCAGAAAAAAAUUUUCGCAGCAUCGGAACACUUACCAGAGAAGCCGUACUCCUCCUCCUGGUCCCCCCGGCGAGGACCAUUUCCAGAGGAGGUACUCUUGGAACGUAAAGCCAAAUACCAGUCACGCAACCCAGAACAAAAGGUGGUAUUCUAGCAGUUACCACAGACCAUCCUAUCCAAAGUACUAUGGAUGAACCGAGUGAGACAAACCUACGCUGGAGACAGAGCAAGACUGAAGACAGCUGGAGUGACUUUUUAUAGGAUCAGGUCAAAUGACGUUUAUAAUCUAUUUUACUGCUCCUUUAUGUGUUCAAGCCUAGGGAAAAAUUAUAUUGGUACUUAACCUUUGCUGAUAAAUUUGCAGUAUUUACAACAGUGAAGGCAAUAAUCUGUCAUUGAGUCUUAAAUUUUUUUAAAGGAAGAUAAGUAAAAGUAAUAAAGAAUUCCCCUUGUAAAUUAUUUUUUAAAA